UGCAAGUCGAGCGGUAGAGAGAAGCUUGCUUCUCUUGAGAGCGGCGGACGGGUGAGUAAUGCCUAGGAAUCUGCCUGGUAGUGGGGGAUAACGUUCGGAAACGGACGCUAAUACCGCAUACGUCCUACGGGAGAAAGCAGGGGACCUUCGGGCCUUGCGCUAUCAGAUGAGCCUAGGUCGGAUUAGCUAGUUGGUGGGGUAAUGGCUCACCAAGGCGACGAUCCGUAACUGGUCUGAGAGGAUGAUCAGUCACACUGGAACUGAGACACGGUCCAGACUCCUACGGGAGGCAGCAGUGGGGAAUAUUGGACAAUGGGCGAAAGCCUGAUCCAGCCAUGCCGCGUGUGUGAAGAAGGUCUUCGGAUUGUAAAGCACUUUAAGUUGGGAGGAAGGGCCGUUACCUAAUACGUGAUGGUUUUGACGUUACCGACAGAAUAAGCACCGGCUAACUCUGUGCCAGCAGCCGCGGUAAUACAGAGGGUGCAAGCGUUAAUCGGAAUUACUGGGCGUAAAGCGCGCGUAGGUGGUUUGUUAAGUUGGAUGUGAAAUCCCCGGGCUCAACCUGGGAACUGCAUUCAAAACUGACUGACUAGAGUAUGGUAGAGGGUGGUGGAAUUUCCUGUGUAGCGGUGAAAUGCGUAGAUAUAGGAAGGAACACCAGUGGCGAAGGCGACCACCUGGACUGAUACUGACACUGAGGUGCGAAAGCGUGGGGAGCAAACAGGAUUAGAUACCCUGGUAGUCCACGCCGUAAACGAUGUCAACUAGCCGUUGGGAGCCUUGAGCUCUUAGUGGCGCAGCUAACGCAUUAAGUUGACCGCCUGGGGAGUACGGCCGCAAGGUUAAAACUCAAAUGAAUUGAC
rnacentral:rRNA from 1 species